rnacentral:rRNA from 1 species
AAAUUGAAGAGUUUGAUCAUGGCUCAGAUUGAACGCUGGCGGCAGGCCUAACACAUGCAAGUCGAGCGGUAGCACAGAGAGCUUGCUCUCGGGUGACGAGCGGCGGACGGGUGAGUAAUGUCUGGGAAACUGCCUGAUGGAGGGGGAUAACUACUGGAAACGGUAGCUAAUACCGCAUAACGUCGCAAGACCAAAGUGGGGGACCUUCGGGCCUCAUGCCAUCAGAUGUGCCCAGAUGGGAUUAGCUAGUAG